rnacentral:rRNA from 1 species
UACGGGGGGGGCAAGCGUUGUUCGGAAUUACUGGGCGUAAAGGGUUUGUAGGUGGCUUGUUAAGUCAGACGUGAAAUCCCCCGGCUUAACCUGGGAACUGCGUCUGAUACUGGAAGGCUUGAGGAUGGGAGAGGGAUGUAGAAUUCCAGGUGUAGCGGUGAAAUGCGCAGAUAUCAGGAGGAACACCGGUGGCGAAGGCGGUUCUCUGGGCAUUACCUGACGCUGAGGAGCGAAAGUGUGGGGAGCGAACAGG